UUAAAAGUAGUUUAAAUAAGAAUAAUAAUUUUGGGGAUUAUAGGUUUAAUGUAAUUAACUUUUAAA
rnacentral:tRNA from 1 species